rnacentral:rRNA from 1 species
UGCAGUCGAGCGAGAAGACGUAGCAAUACGUUUGUAAAGCGGCGAACGGGUGAGGAAUACAUGGGUAACCUACCCUCGAGUGGGGAAUAACUAGCCGAAAGGUUAGCUAAUACCGCGUACGCUCCUUGGACUUCGGUUCAGGGAGGAAAGCGAUACCGUGGGUAUCGCGCUCUUGGAUGGGCUCAUGUCCUAUCAGCUUGUUGGUGAGGUAACGGCUCACCAAGGCUUCGACGGGUAGCUGGUCUGAGAGGACGAUCAGCCACACUGGCACUGCGACACGGGCCAGACUCCUACGGGAGGUAGCAGUAAGGAAUAUUGCGCAAUGGGCGAAAGCCUGACGCAGCGACGCCGCGUGGGGGAUGAAGGUCUUCGGAUUGUAAACCCCUUUCGGGAGGGAAGAUGGAAUGGGGUAACCCAUUUGGACGGUACCUCCAGAAGCAGCCACGGCUAACUUCGUGCCAGCAGCCGCGGUAAUACGAAGGUGGCAAGCGUUAUUCGGAUUUACUGGGCGUACAGGGAGCGUAGGCGGCUCGGUAAGCCCUUUGUGAAAUCUUCAGGCUUAACCUGGAAAAGUCGGAGGGGACUGCCGGGCUAGAGGACGGGAGAGGAGCGCGGAAUUCCCGGUGUAGCGGUGAAAUGCGUAGAGAUCGGGAGGAAGGCCGGUGGCGAAGGCGGCGCUCUGGAACGUUUCUGACGCUGAGGCUCGAAAGCGUGGGGAGCAAACAGGAUUAGAUACCCUGGUAGUCCACGCCUUAAACUAUGAAUACUAAGUGUCGGCGGGUUACCGCCGGUGCCGCAGCUAACGCAUUAAGUAUUCCGCCUGGGAAGUACGGCCGCAAGGUUGAAACUCAUAUGAAUUGACGGG